CCUACGGGUGGCAGCAGUGAGGCAUCUUGGUCAAUGGACGAAAGUCUGAACCAGCCAAGUAGCGUGAAGGAUGACUGCCCUCUGGGUUGUAAACUUCUUUUAUAUGGGAAUAAAAUGUUCCACGUGUGGGUUUUUGUAUGUACCAUAUGAAUAAGGAUCGGCUAACUACGUGCCAUGAGCCGCGGUAAUAUGGAGGGUCCGAGCGUUAUCCGGGUUUAUUGGGUUUAAAGGGAGCGUAGGUGGGUUGUUAGGUCAGUUGUGAAAGUUUGCGGCUCAACCGUAAAAUUGCAGUUGAAACUGGCAGUCUGGAGUACAGUAGAGGAUGGCGGAAUUCGUGGUGUAGCGGUGAAAUGCUUAGAUAUCACGAAGAACUCCGAUUGCGAAGGCAGCUCACUGGACUGCAACUGACACUGAGGCUCGAAAGUGUGGGUAUCAAACAGGAUUAGAUACCCCUGUAGUC
rnacentral:rRNA from 1 species